UUUUAUAGGGUGAUGGCCAUAAACAGAACUGAAGACUGGAAAGGAGAAAUCCAUUUAAAAUGGCCUUUUUAAAGUAGAAGAAUGUGCUAUGAACCAGAAGAGCAGGGCAAGAAGGUGAGUGAGGACCACAUGUGGAACCCAUCUCCCGGCUGUGGUGAGCCUAGCCCAGCACCUGCCCAGUGGAUGCCUGUCUGUGGUAAAGAUGAAACCUAAAUCUGCAGAGAUUGGGAAGAGCCGGCUACUAUCACAGGAUGUCUACAAGUGAGAAAACUUCCCUGACCCAGAUUCAAGAGGUCACCAACAUGGAAUUGGCCAAACAGAGUAAAGGCAGCAGAUGAAGGACUGUUCCUUUCCCCAUUUAGAGUGGACUUGAAGAAUAGGAGAUCUAACCAGAGUCCUGACCUCUUUCCUGGUACUCUGCACACAAAUUUUAAGACCAGCCUGGGCUUUCAAGUGCAGGAUGGGGAGGUAAGUGAGGCUGGUGAUGCUCAGAGCUCACCUACCUUCUCAGAUCCCCAGGGAUUUCCUCUCUGCUAUCAAAACCAUGUGAGAAACAACAACAAUAAAAAACAUGCUGAAAAAUGUUAGAAAUUCAGCCACUUGGCAGCCUUGCAAUAGCUAACAACUGUUAAGAGCCAUUUGAUAAACCCCAAACCACAAGUAGCCCUCAGCUAAAACCUGGUACUCUGUGUGUAUUCUCAGGUAGGAAGGUUUAGAAGAGUCUGAUGAAGAUUCCGCAGUUCCCCAAAAGAGCCGACUCCCUGAUUGAAGCUAGGGACUGUUCUUCUUUUAAUUUGUGCAGCAUUCCAUACACUGGGCCUUUGGCAGCAGGCCUUCCUGUUAGAUAUGGGGACCACUAGGACCUCUGCUGUCUUCUUAGUGGACAGCAGAGACAUGGAAGAGCAUGGAAGAGACAUGGGCUUUGGAAUCAGAUUUAUUUUUGUUUGUGUCCCAGACCUACAAUUUAAUAUAUGUGACCCUGAGCAAGUUAAUUCUUUCUGUGCCUCAGUUUCCUCAUAUGUAAAAUGGGAUAGUAAUAACUACUUCUUUUGGU